UGUACCCUCACACUUCUUGUCCUUUGGACUGGGAGCAGUGGACUUGGGUGUUGCUGCUUGACUGCGGCUCACCCGAAAUGCAUUAGUGCAUCUCCUGGUUGGACAUAGUACAGUGUGAUAAGUAUCUUCGCCAGCACCUCACCUCAGAGGGUGGCUGAUCAGGGGCCCUGUGCUUUCAAACCAUCUUCGGACAAUGACUGACA
rnacentral:misc_RNA from 1 species